GCGCCCAUAGCUCAACUGGAUAGAGCAUCUGACUACGGAUCAGAAGGCUGGGGAUUCGAAUUCUCCUGGGCGCGCCA
rnacentral:tRNA from 1 species